rnacentral:piRNA from 1 species
GGCCUCAACAAAACAGUCUCAGUGAGAAU